GUGCGAGACCGAUAGCGAACAAGUACCGUGAGGGAAAGAUGAAAAGAACUUUGAAAAGAGAGUUAAAGAGUACCUGAAACUGUUGAAAGGGAACCGUAACAUGUCCAGUGUUUUAUCUCUUAUAUAUUUCAUUAGUACAGCAAUGCACUGGUGCCCUGUAUAAGAGUGUGACGUCAAAGUCAGUUUGUAUAUUGCGGGAGAUGGUUAAUAAGGAGGUGCGUCACUUUUGUGUCAGUUAUACCUUGUUAACUAGUUGCCGUGGUAGAGACUGAGGUGCCUACAACAUGCUUAUCAAGUGUAUGUUUGUCUCGUUAUUCUAUUUGUUUGGAUAGCUUGCUAUGCUAAUGAACUAGAGUAGCGAUGGAUAGAUAUAUUAACUUGUUGCUGUUCGGGACUUUG
rnacentral:rRNA from 2 species